rnacentral:lncRNA from 10 species
AAAUCUUGGAGAAGUCUCCAUUCUGGGAACCUCCUCCUUCUCAUCCAUGGAAAGGGAAGAAGGAUGCCUGGAGUGGGAUAAAGAAAAUAUAGAAAAGGAAGGGAGUGUCUUCACAUCCCAGCAGGGCACAUGGAGGAGGAGGAGGAGGUGCUGACUAUGGACAGCAAGAAGCAACAUCACCAUCACAAAACACCCACCCAGGGCAGGGGCCCUUUCAACAAGGAGCAUAAGAGACUGUUUCUGCCUCUGAUGGAAGCCCAGCAUUUUGUUUUUCUCCACAUAUUUUAAUCAAUAUUUACCAAGCCAUAACAAUCUGGCUUUCACUGUCACCCUAGGGUUGAGUUUCAUGAGUAACUACCUUUUCCACUGGCUGCAGAAAUAAUGACUCCAUGUAUGAUUGGCAGAAGGUCAUUCAUUUGAGCAUAGGAAAACAAGCAGUUUCAAGAAAAGAGCUGGCAUCUCUGCAUGAGUGAAUCAGUGCACAUCUA